rnacentral:rRNA from 1 species
GCAGGCCUAACACAUGCAAGUCGAGGGGUAGAACACUUCGGUGUUUGAGACCGGCGCACGGGUGCGUAACGCGUAUGCAAUCUACCUUUUACAGGGGAAUAGCCCAGAGAAAUUUGGAUUAAUGCCCCAUAGUAUAUAUGAGUCGCAUGAUUUAUAUAUUAAAGUUCCAACGGUAAAAGAUGAGCAUGCGUCCCAUUAGUUAGUUGGUAAGGUAACGGCUUACCAAGACUAUGAUGGGUAGGGGUCCUGAGAGGGAGAUCCCCCACACUGGUACUGAGACACGGACCAGACUCCUACGGGAGGCAGCAGUGAGGAAUAUUGGACAAUGGGCGCAAGCUGAUCCAGCCAUGCCGCGUGCAGGAAGACGCAUCUAUGGUGUGUAAACUGCUUUUGUACGGGAAGAAACACUCCCUCGUGAGGGAGCUUGACGGUACCGUAAGAAUAAGGAUCGGCUAACUCCG